rnacentral:snRNA from 12 species
GUACUGCAUUUGCAGGGGGACACCGCGGUCAGAAAGGGGGUUUUCCCAGGGUGAAGCUCAUCCUCCACAUCCCAUGGUGUGCCGUACCCUGCAAUUUCUCCAAAUGCAGGAAACUUAACUGCGUAUCUUGGGGUAGUGGCAGUUUGUGUUCAUAUUCUUCCC